rnacentral:rRNA from 1 species
AACGAACGCUGGCGGCAUGCCUAACACAUGCAAGUCGAACGGGCUGUAGCAAUACAGUCAGUGGCGAACGGGUGAUUAACGCGUGGGAACCUGCCUUGGAGUUCGGAAUAACUGCGGGAAACUGCAGCUAAUACCGGAUACGACCUAAGGGUGAAAGCAGCAAUGCGCUCCGAGAGGGGCCCGCGUCCGAUUAGCUAGUUGGUGAGGUAACGGCUCACCAAGGCGAUGAUCGGUAGCUGGUCUGAGAGGAUGAUCAGCCACACUGGAACUGAGACACGGUCCAGACUCCUACGGGAGGCAGCAGUGGGGAAUAUUGGACAAUGGGGGAAACCCUGAUCCAGCAAUGCCGCGUGGGUGAUGAAGGCCUUCGGGUUGUAAAGCCCUUUUGGCGGGGACGAUGAUAACGGUACCCGCAGAAGAAGCCCCGGCUAACUUCGUGCCAGCCGCCGCCGUAAGAC